rnacentral:rRNA from 1 species
GAUGAACGCUGGCGGCGUGCCUAAUACAUGCAAGUCGAGCGAACAGAUGAGGAGCUUGCUCCUCUGACGUUAGCGGCGGACGGGUGAGUAACACGUGGAUAACCUACCUAUAAGACUGGGAUAACUACGGGAAACCGGAGCUAAUACCGGAUAAUAUAUUGAACCGCAUGGUUCAAUAGUGAAAGACGGUUUUGCUGUCACUUAUAGAUGGAUCCGCGCCGCAUUAGCUAGUUGGUAAGGUAACGGCUUACCAAGGCAACGAUGCGUAGCCGACCUGAGAGGUUGAUCGGCCACACUGGAACUGAGACACGGUCCAGACUCCUACGGGAGGCAGCAGUAGGGAAUCUUCCGCAAUGGGCGAAAGCCUGACGGAGCAACGCCGCGUGAGUGAUGAAGGUCUUCGGAUCGUAAAACUCUGUUAUUAGGGAAGAACAAAUUUGUAAGUAACUAUGCACGUCUUGACGGUACCUAAUCAGAAAGCCACGGCUAACUACGUG